ensembl:processed_transcript Gm20421 predicted gene 20421
GGGUCACCAGGGCCGCCAGAGGCCGCAGGCGGGUUGGCGCGAGGUGGAGACCGCAGCAGCAGCAGCAGCAGCCUUAGCGGAGGAGCGUGCCGGUUGGGGCGCAGCUCCGGGCGCCGGGGGCUCCUUGGCAGGCGCGGCGGGAGCUGGGGGCCGCUGGAAGUGGUAGCUGACGGCCAUCUCCAGGAUGUCGGCCUUCUCCAGCUUGGAGUUGGGCUGGUGCCGCGCGAACUCCUGCUCCAGCAGCAGCUUCAGCUGCUCUAUGCUGCUGUUGAUGCGGUCCCGACGCAUCUUCUCCACCACCGGCUUCCGCAGCUGCGGGAGGAGAGGCGUCAGGUGGGCGGCGGACGCCGGAGGCCCCGGGGGAACCGGACGGCGCGCGCCGGGCGAGUUGCACUUACUCGGUUUUUCUCCUUGGGACUGAGCAUCUCCACCGCCACGGUACUUGGGGCCAUGCCUGGAGCUCUGGAGGCGAUUAGCGAGCGGAGCGGAGCGGAGCGGACAGAGCCAGGCGUCCCGGACUGGCGCGACCUGGACCCCAGCACGCCAGCCCUAUAUAGGCGAGGGCAGCGGCCCGGCGCCUGGGGUCCGGGCGCCGCGGCCGUUCCCACACUCGGCGGCCAAUGGCGGCGCCGGCCGCACAAAGGCGCCGGCCCAUUAGCGCACGCUAAAUUGCCUGUG